rnacentral:tRNA from 1 species
GGGCGUUUGGCACAGUGGUAGCGCGCACGCUUUGCAUGCGUGAUGUCGAGGGUUCAAACCCCUCAACGUCCA